UACAGAGGGUGCAAGCGUUAAUCGGAAUUACUGGGCGUAAAGCGUGCGUAGACGGUUAUUUAAGUCAGACGUGAAAUCCCUCAGCUUAACUGGGGAACUGCGUCUGAUACUGGAUGGCUUGAGUUUGGGAGAGGGAUGCGGAAUUCCAGGUGUAGCGGUGAAAUGCGUAGAUAUCUGGAGGAACACCGGUGGCGAAGGCGGCUCUCUGGAACGGUACUGACGCUGAGACGCGAAAGCGUGGGGAGCGAACAGG
rnacentral:rRNA from 1 species